rnacentral:rRNA from 1 species
UACGGAGGGGGCUAGCGUUGUUCGGAAUUACUGGGCGUAAAGGGCGCGUAGGCGGUGCUUCAAGUCAGGCGUGAAAGCCCCGGGCUUAACCUGGGAAUGGCGUUUGAUACUGGAGGACUGGAGAACGGGAGAGGAAAGCAGAAUUCCUAGUGUAGAGGUGAAAUUCGUAGAUAUUAGGAAGAAUACCAGAGGCGAAGGCGGCUUUCUGGACCGUAACUGACGCUGAGGCGCGAAAGCGUGGGGAGCAAACAGG